ACACAUGCAGUCGAGCGGGGAAGAGUAGCUUGCUACUUUACCUAGCGGCGGACGGGUGAGUAAUGCUUAGGAAUCUGCCUAUUAGUGGGGGACAACAUCUCGAAAGGGAUGCUAAUACCGCAUACGUCCUACGGGAGAAAGCAGGGGACCUUCGGGCCUUGCGCUAAUAGAUGAGCCUAAGUCGGAUUAGCUAGUUGGUGGGGUAAAGGCCUACCAAGGCGACGAUCUGUAGCGGGUCUGAGAGGAUGAUCCGCCACACUGGGACUGAGACACGGCCCAGACUCCUACGGGAGGCAGCAGUGGGGAAUAUUGGACAAUGGGGGGAACCCUGAUCCAGCCAUGCCGCGUGUGUGAAGAAGGCCUUUUGGUUGUAAAGCACUUUAAGCGAGGAGGAGGCUACCGAGAUUAAUACUCUUGGAUAGUGGACGUUACUCGCAGAAUAAGCACCGGCUAACUCUGUGCCAGCAGCCGCGGUAAUACAGAGGGUGCAAGCGUUAAUCGGAUUUACUGGGCGUAAAGCGCGCGUAGGUGGCCAAUUAAGUCAAAUGUGAAAUCCCCGAGCUUAACUUGGGAAUUGCAUUCGAUACUGGUCGGCUAGAGUAUGGGAGAGGAUGGUAGAAUUCCAGGUGUAGCGGUGAAAUGCGUAGAGAUCUGGAGGAAUACCGAUGGCGAAGCAGCCAUCUGGCCUAAUACUGACACUGAGUGCGAAAGCAUGGGNGCAAACAGGAUUAGAUACCCUGGUAGUCAUGCGUAAACGAUGUCUACUAGCGUUGGGGCUUUGAGCUUUAGUGCGCAGCUACGCGAUAAGUAGAC
rnacentral:rRNA from 1 species